rnacentral:rRNA from 1 species
AUUGAACGCCGGCGGAAUGCUUUACACAUGCAAGUCGAACGGCAGCACGGGGCAACCUGGUGGCGAGUGGCGAACGGGUGAGUAAUACAUCGGAACGUGCCCAAUCGUGGGGGAUAACGUAGCGAAAGUUACGCUAAUACCGCAUACGAUCUACGGAUGAAAGCUGGGGAUCGAAAGACCUGGCGUUAUUCGAGCGGCCGACGUCUGAUUAGCUAGUUGGUGAGGUAAAGGCUCACCAAGGCGACGAUCAGUAGCGGGUCUGAGAGGGUGAUCCGCCACACUGGGACUGAGACACGGCCCAGACUCCUACGGGAGGCAGCAGUGGGGAAUUUUGGACAAUGGGGGCAACCCUGAUCCAGCCAUGCCGCGUGUCUGAAGAAGGCCUUCGGGUUGUAAAGGACUUUUGUUAGGGAGCAAGUCCUGCAGGUUAAGAGCUAGUAGGGAUGAGAGUACCCAAAGAAUAAGCACCGGCUAACUACGUGCCAGCCGCCGCUGUAAGAC